rnacentral:lncRNA from 1 species
CUCCCUUCCCCCUCCAUCUCCCUCCCCUUCUUCUUCCUCCCUCUCCUGGGGAUUCACAGCUUGGACCCCCUGCAUGACAAGCAAGUGCACCAUUACAGAGAUACAGUUCCAGCCUUCCUGUGGGGUUGAUUGGUCUGCAAGUAAAUGUUACAAUGAUGUUAACAACGUUGAGAGAGGUGGAGAUUUGAAGGUGAAGAACACACUUUGCAGCAGCAGUGCAAGCCAAGAGGGAUGGACUCUAAGGUUGAAUGAAGGUGGACUCUAUUUUACUUUGUGAAUGAAAGUUAUUGGAAAGAAGCUGGGUCUGCGAAGACUAAUGAAAACCCAGUCACAUGGAGGGGCUGGAGUGUUGCAAGUCCAGAGGCUAAUUACCUGAUCCUUGGCUAGUUUUAGCACCUCCCAAGUAGCCAUUCCUUGGUCAUCUCUGUGUCAGAAGCAGCAUUCCAUGACUAACAGAUGAAACUUUUCAAAAUCUAUCAACUUAGCAGACUACUAGCAUUCACCAACCCCAAAGCUAAGAAGAAUGCCAUCAGAUAGCAUGUUGGACCUGUGGAAAGCACUCUCCCAGCCUUGCUGCAGCAGUGUUCCUGAUGUACUCACCAAUGUAUUUUAAAUUUGUCUUGACUUUCUUUGUUCUGUAAAACCGGAAGACUUCAUGAAACUGCUUCCAUGUUAGAACAUGGAAUUUGGGGUAACCUAAACCUGUGCUGCUAGGCCGUAG